UCCCUGGUGGCCCAGUGGUUAGGAUUUGGUUCUGCCACUGCCAAGGACCUGGGUUCAGUCCCUGGUCAGGGAG
rnacentral:tRNA from 1 species